AACUCAAAGGAAUUGACGGGGGCCCGCACAAGCGGUGGAGCAUGUGGAUUAAUUUGAUGCAACGCGGAGAACCUUACCAGGGCUUGACAUGUCGAGAACCUUCUAGAAAUAGAGGGGUGCAUGUAAAUGAACUCGAACACAGGUGGUGCAUGGCUGUCGUCAGCUCGUGCUGUGAAGUGUUUGGUUAAGUCCAAAAACGAGCGCAACCCUUGUCUUUAGUUAUUUAGUCUAGAGAGACUGCCAGUGUAAGCUGGAGGAAGGUGAGGAUGACGUCAAGUCAGCAUGCCCCUUACGCCCUGGGCGUCACACGUGCUACAAUGGUUGAGACAAUACGCAGCAAACUCGUCAAGGGUAAGCGAAUCGGACAAACUCUUCCUCAGUUCGGAUUGCAGGCUGCAACUCGCCUGCAUGAAGCCGGAAUCGCUAGUAAUCGCCGGUCAGCCACACGGCGGUGAAUACGUUCCCGGGCCUUGUACACACCGCCCGUCACACCAUGGAAGCAGGUCAUGCCCUAAGUCGUGACCCCAACCUUGGAUUCUUUAUAGAGUCUGAAGAGGGGGAUGCCUAAGGCAGGGCUCGUGACCGGGGUGAAGUCGUAACAAGGUAAGCCUACUGGAAGGUGGGCUUGGAUCUCCUCCUUCAAUUGACUAGACGUCAACUUAUAUAAAAUAUAGGAACGUAGUUGGCGAACGACAGUUCGACUAACGAAUUAUUGAGAAUUCGUUCGCUAAACGAACGGUGAUAGGAGCGAAUUCUCUAUAAUCGUUCGUUCAGCUUAUUACUUAUUAUACGAUUCUCAAUAAUUCGCUCCUAUCACCGUUCGUUAACGAACGAAUUAUUGGGAACAUGAUCAAGGCUUUCGUUCGACAAAUAAUUCUAGCUCUAAUUAAUCUAAUUAAUUAGAGAAAAUAAGAAGAAAAAAAGAUUUCAGCAUUUAGUAAAGCUAUAGUCGGAUCUUUAUAAUUCGUUCAGCGAACAUAAUAGGGGGGGGCUAUUAGCUCAGCGGUAGAGCGCACCCCUGAUAAGGGUGAGGCCGCAGGUUCAAGUCCUGCAUAGCCCACCACUGAACUAGACUCAUUCUAUAAAUAUAAAGAAGAUUUUAUGGGUUGAAUUGAUGAACUUUUUAGAAUUCCCCCAAUUAUUAUAAGGACAAUUUCCCUCUACAAUCCCCCCAAUAAUCCCCCCAAUAAUAUAAUACCCUUCUUAUGAUUUUACCCCUUGAAGGGUAUUGUUGGGGGUAUAGUGAUAAGAGGGGUAACUAUAAGAGGGGUGAUGAUAAGAGGGGUGAUGAUAAGAGGGGUGAUGAUAAGAGGGGUUAUAGAGUUUAUCG
rnacentral:rRNA from 1 species